UUAGCAUCCACCUGCCAAGGUUCUUGUUGAACUGGCCGAGCUCCAAGAUAGAGAAGUAGGAGAUGGCACUACUUCUGUCGUCAUUGUAGCAGCUGAAUUACUCAAGAGAGCAAAUGAUCUUGUGAAAAACAAGAUUCACCCAACAUCUGUAAUUAGCGAUACAGACUUGCAAUGAGAGAAGCAUGCAAAUAUAUUGAAGAGAAGCUCGCGAUUAAGGUUGACAAGCUUGGAAAGGAUUCUCUUGUGAAUUGUGCAAAGACAAGCAUGUCUUCUAAAUUGUUAUCCGGUGACUCUGACUUUUUCGCAAAUCUGGUACGCUUU